GUAUGAAAAUAAGCAAAAUUUCAGAUAAUUGAAAUCGCCCACGUUAGUUAGUUAGUUAGUUAGUUCCUAUGAAAAAGGACGAUUUCGUAACUCCUAAAUGUUUCUUACGAUUUUCCUGAAAUUUUGGUUAUAGGUCAAUCUCGGGCACUAGAUCAAAAUAGGAUUUAAAAAAAUUGGCCUUAAACAGAUUUUUU